rnacentral:rRNA from 1 species
CCUACGGGGUGCAGCAGUGAGGAAUAUUGGUCAAUGGACGAGAGUCUGAACCAGCCACGUAGCGUGAAGGAUGACUGCCCUAUGGGUUGUAAACUUCUUUUAUAUGGGAAUAAAAUGUUCCACGUGUGGGAUUUUGUAUGUACCAUAUGAAUAAGGAUCGGCUAACUCCGUGCCAGCAGCCGCGGUAAUACGGAGGAUCCGAGCGUUAUCCGGAUUUAUUGGGUUUAAAGGGAGCGUAGGUGGAUUGUUAAGUCAGUUGUGAAAGUUUGCGGCUCAACCGUAAGAUUGCAGUUGAAACUGGCAGUCUUGAGUACAGUAGAGGUGAGCGGAAUUCGUGGUGUAGCGGUGAAAUGCUUAGAUAUCACGAAGAACUCCGAUGGCGAAGGCAGUUCACUGGACUGCAACUGACACUGAGGCUCGAAAGUGUGGGUAUCAAACAGGAUUAGAUACCCUUGUAGUC